CCUUCCAGCAAAGGAAGUGUGCUGCCGCGGGGCUGUGGAGAGGGUGCAGUGAGGGUCAGGAGCCCUGGAGGGAGAGCGGGUCCCACGGCACACCAUCCCAGCCACUGUCCUGAAAGGAUGCUCAUGCAUAGCAAAGUCAUUCUUUGCUAAAAUGGAACAGAAGUGGUUAGGCAGCUGCGAGCCCUCCGUAGUGGACUUACCACGACAGCAACCCCCUCGUGUACCAUUGAGGGAGAGGCAUAGAGGCUGGUAGAGUAUUUCCCAACAUACAGAGUGGGCCUAGGAGAAAAACAGAUACAUGCAUUCCAGAGUCAUUGAAUUUCCAGAUCCCACAGAAGGGAGUAAUCAUCACCCCAAAUACCACCCGCAGGGAUGACCACAUUAACCCCCCAGACAUGGAGGAACGCAGUAGGGGUGUGAAGCUAGGGGCACUGCCCUGGGAACAGGACCACAGGACUUCAUCCCAGCUGUCACUCACUGCAGAAACAUGGACAAGCCACCUAAUGGCAAGCCUCAGCAAAAUCGCAGGGCUGGACUAGACGAUGCCCAUGAUGCCUGCAGAAAGGACUACGCCCAGUGGCCACAGAGGAGACUGAGUGCUUACUACCACCGCCGAGGCCCCUCAGAUGACUCUCUACAACACACUUUCACUCCAGCGAUCACUCCAGCGACCACCAGAACUACCCCCAUUCUGCCUUGUGCUUUCUAAGGAUCCUGGAGGUUUUACAGAACUCCUGAGAAAUGGUCAGCUGCUCUACUCUGGAUGCUGAGAGCAAAAGGGAUGCAUAAGAAAUUCCAGACUUGGUGAGACUUCUGGUUCCCCAGCUGUGUAGUCUGUCCCCAUGUGGGACAUCAGGGAGACAGAAAAUGGUCUCCGAUCAAGAGGUGCCACACUUGAGGAGCAUCAUCUACCUCCAGACCUCAUGCAGAUAAUGAGAGGUGAGAUUUUGGGACUGAUGCUGGGAUUGGACUUUGGGGGUCUUUGGAGGGAGUGGGAGGGUUGUAAACUACUGCAGCCUGAGGGAGGACUGCAGUAGAACAUCUCUAAAGGUCACUACCACCAAUUCUUCCCAUUCCUGUAAUGCAUGUUACUCUUCCCAUCAAGAAGCCGAGUCUAUAUCUCUACCCUUGAUUCUCAGCUGGCCUUGAGACUUGCUUUGACCAACAGACUGCAGUGGAAGGAAGGUUCUGGAACUUUUGAGCCCAGACCUUAGGAGGCACUGUAACACCCAUUUUUACUCAAGAGGGAGCCCGCUGCCAUAUCAAGAGUCCAGGCUAUCUGUAUGGAGAAAGGUCACACGGAACUGAACUGAAGUCUCAGAUACAUGAG
rnacentral:lncRNA from 10 species